UGUGCGGGCUGCGCUGCCGCGUUUUUGCCGUGUGCCAUUAUGGCAAACUGCAAGAAUGAGGAAAGUCCGGGCUCCGUAGGGCAGGAUAACGGGUAACACCCGCCGAGGGAAACCUCAGGACAAGUGCAACAGAGAUAUACCGCAUGGGUCGAGCUUGGCUUGGCCUGUGUAAGGGUGGAAAGGCGGAGAAAAGCGCCCGUCGUCGGCCGGGAGACCGGUCGUUCAUGUAAACUCUAUCCGGAGCAACACCCGACAGAACGCAGGGAAGUAUUCCCUGGCGCUUGCCCGGCGUAAGUUCGAGGAUGGUGGCAUGAGGCAUGCGGCAACGCAUGUCCCAGAUAGAUGGCAGUGUAGGAGUAAACUUCGUUAACUCCGAAGUGAAACGAAGUUGGCUCUGAACAGAACCCGGCUUAUAGGCCCGCUUGCAAA
rnacentral:RNase_P_RNA from 1 species